rnacentral:lncRNA from 1 species
GAAAGAGGCCAUGAGCCAAGGAAUGUGGACAGACUAUAGAAGCUGGGUAUGGAACAGAGAUUGAAGCUAAUUCUGCUGUCUGAGAAUUAUCUGCGUCUUGCUAGCAUGAAAAGAUAUUUUGGAGAAGCAUUAGAGCAGACAGAGUUAGAAGAAAACCUCUGCUGACAGAUUGUGCUCAGAUCCUGGCUCUGCCAAGCUGCAUGACCCUGGACCAGUCAACAAUCGCUUUGGAGAGGAGAAACAAUUACUUUGUAAACUGAAGCAGCGCACUUAAUGAAGGAAGCAGAGAAGCUGCUGUGGAGGCUUUUUGCUAUCUAAUGUGCUCACGCGGUGCCUCAGUUUCUGCAUCUGUAAAUUAAGAUGAUAAUAAUCACUAUCUCAUAGGGUUGUGCAGAAGAUUAGAUGAGUUAAUAUACAGAAAGCAUUUAAACAGUGCCUGGCGCAUCGUAAGCGCAAUGUAUAAUGAUUUUAUGGUGAGAGUUAUGGAAGAAAUGUACAGGAUGAUAUGACCUACUAGAUACGUGGAAAGGUGGAGGAAUGAUAUUAGAUAGGAUCAUUUGGGAAGGUUUAAGUAGAAACCUGAAAGACCAGAAGAAGACACAGAAUUUGAUGACACUAUAUUAUGAAAAAC